AUUUUACAGCACGCAGGGAUGUGGAUGAGUGUUCUGGUAAGUGAUAAGUUCUAGUGUAGAAGCCCUAAGUGGCAGUAAAGUGGAUGAUGUUGAUGGGA